GACGAACGCUGGCGGCGUGCCUAAUACAUGCAAGUGGGACGCAAGGGAACACACUGUGCUUGCACACCGUGUUUUCUUGAGUCGCGAACGGGUGAGUAACGCGUAGGUAACCUGCCUAUUAGCGGGGGAUAACUAUUGGAAACGAUAGCUAAUACCGCAUAAUAUUAAUUAUUGCAUGAUAAUUGAUUGAAAGAUGCAAGCGCAUCACUAGUAGAUGGACCUGCGUUGUAUUAGCUAGUUGGUAAGGUAAGAGCUUACCAAGGCGACGAUACAUAGCCGACCUGAGAGGGUGAUCGGCCACACUGGGACUGAGACACGGCCCAGACUCCUACGGGAGGCAGCAGUAGGGAAUCUUCGGCAAUGGACGAAAGUCUGACCGAGCAACGCCGCGUGAGUGAAGAAGGUUUUCGGAUCGUAAAGCUCUGUUGUAAGUCAAGAACGUGUGUGAGAGUGGAAA
rnacentral:rRNA from 1 species